GCGACACGACCCAACGAUUUCUUCACUUUCCGGCCACCGCCUUAAGUCGCACCGGCGUCGUUAGCUUCGUCUUGACGACGGGAAGAGGAGACCGGUCCUCCCUUCUCCGAACUAGCAGAAACGGCGGCAGGAAGAAGCCCGAAAGCUUCUCGGGUUCUCCGACCUAGUUUCUGACUCCGGCCACUACCACAAGCGAGACCGGUGGCGGUAGCUUCGUCUUGGCGAGGUGAAGAAGCCUGUGGUAUCUCCUUGUCCAUCCAUCAACUUGAGAGAGAGAGAAUCGAAGAGGGAGAAAGUUCUACGUUUUCCGGCGACCUUCG
rnacentral:lncRNA from 1 species